rnacentral:lncRNA from 1 species
UUUUUACAGUACGAGGUGUUUACGACGAUUUUGGUUACGUGGUUUUUACGACGAUUCCGUCCUACGUGGAAUUAAAGUGGGCCGCGUUCAUCAUUUAUUUUACGUGGUAUUUACGACGAAUCUCUCCUACGUGGUAUUUACGACGAAUUUGUCCUACGUGGUAUUUACGACGAAUCUCUCCUACGUGGAAUAAACGAGGAAUUCGUCGUAAGUUCGACGUCAACAUACGAGGAAUUAACGAGUAUUCCGUUUAAAUCCCUAAAAUCCGAAACCCCAAACCCCAUAUUCCUUAUCUUCUACUUCAUAUAUUCCAAACCCUAUCUUUAUUUUCAUUCCAAACCACAAUUCCUUAUCUUCUAAUUCAUAUAUUCCAAACCACAAUUCUCACUUUUACUUAUUCAUAAAACAAACUCCAACAUUUUCUUAUUCAC